AUGCACGCUGGCGGCGUGCCUAAUACCUGCAAGUCGAGCGAACAGACGAGGAGCUUGCUCCUCUGACGUUAGCGGCGGACGGGUUAGUAACACGUGGAUAACCUACCUAUAAGACUGGGAUAACUUCGGGAAACCGGAGCUAAUACCGGAUAAUAUAUUGAACCGCAUGGUUCAAUAGUGAAAGACGGUUUUGCUGUCACUUAUAGAUGGAUCCGCGCCGCAUUAGCUAGUUGGUAAGGUAACGGCUUACCAAGGCAACGAUGCGUAGCCGACCUGAGAGGGUGAUCGGCCACACUGGAACUGAGACACGGUCCAGACUCCUACGGGAGGCAGCAGUAGGGAAUCUUCCGCAAUGGGCGAAAGCCUGACGGAGCAACGCCGCGUGAGUGAUGAAGGUCUUCGGAUCGUAAAACUCUGUUAUUAGGGAAGAACAAAUGUGUAAGUAACUAUGCACGUCUUGACGGUACCUAAUCAGAAAGCCACGGCUAACUACGUG
rnacentral:rRNA from 1 species